UACGUAGGGGGCUAGCGUUGUCCGGAAUCAUUGGGCGUAAAGCGCGCGUAGGCGGCCAGAUAAGUCCGGUGUGAAAGUCACAGGCUCAACCUGUGAAUGCCGCUGGAAACUGUCUGGCUAGAGUCCGGAAGGGGCGAGUGGAAUUCCUGGUGUAGCGGUGAAAUGCGCAGAUAUCAGGAGGAACACCGGUGGCGAAGGCGGUUCUCUGGGCCUGUACUGACGCUGAGGAACGAAAGCGUGGGGAGCGAACAGG
rnacentral:rRNA from 1 species